CGAGAUGAGUGGACGAACUAGGAACCAGAGAAAAAAGAAAGUUGUACGUAGCUUGCGAGAUGAUGACUGGAUAUCCCGACGCCGGCGAGCGUUGGCUCUGCCGGCGUCGGAAAACAUGGUUAUAGGACUUGUCUCGAUUAUUGUGCCCGAGAGAGAAACAGAUAUUUUGUAUUGGUUAAUACGUGAUGACAUUGGCUAUGAUAUCUGUUUUAGUUUCUAAAAUCUGUGGAAGCUGCUGCUUGAUGACUCUUGCAAUUGAGAAUUCCAGUUCUAGAUUAAUUUGAGGUUUUGUGAUUGUUAGAUUAGUUUGAAGUUGAGUAUAGACUGUGGGUCUUUUCAUAACAAUUUUUAAGGAAUGUCUCAUGUUGUGUGCUUGUCAUCUCUCUAAGGACACUGCUUUUAUUUAGUAUAUGUCCUUCUAUGCGCAGGUUAUACGUACCGACCUCUGGCCUUUCGAACAAUUUGUGUCUCUGUUAUACCAUUGACUCAUUAGGCUUGUGUGGAUGUUUCAGAUUUUAACCUUGUUGGGAUUGGUUUCUUUGUUUUAUAUAUAUGGAUGUUUUGCCUAUACAAUCUAUACUGUAGGAAAUGUAAGUCGGACAAGGGUUAAGAGAGUGAGUUCCUUUAGCUAAGAACAAGAGACACUUAUUAAGAAACUAUACGAGAAGUUAGUGUGAAAUUUCGCCUCCUCUGCAUAAACUCUUUCUGUGCAACAAUUUUAUUGACUCUGUUGUUUUUCUACUGUUGUCUAUGUGCUGGUUCAAGGACCAAUACUAAGAGGAAGAUCUGCUUUAGAAUUUUUAGCUUUUUUUUUGGUCAAACAGAAUUUUAAGCUUUAGAUACUUGAUUCAAUGACUUCUACUCCCCUUCGGUUAUGUCUAAAUAAUGUUUUUGUAUCGUUUUAAUUUCAAAAGAUAUUUUCUCUUUUUAUAUGUCAUUGCUAAAUAACAGAAUUAAACCAACAAAUAUAUGACGUUGCUAAACUACAUGUAUAUAUAUACUGAAUACAUAAUUAUAACUACAAACGUUUAAACAUUCAUUAGUUAAUCAUACAUAAUCAAAUUAAUCAAAUAUGAUAAAGUUAAUGAUAAAUUUUUGCAUUUUAUAUUGUUAAUUGAUAAAUAGUAAAAAUUUAGUUUCAAAAUUAAACUCUAUACCCUAAACCUUUAAAGGUUAAACAUGUUUUACUAUUUAUCAAUUAACAAAAUAAAUCGCAAAGCAAAUAAUCAAAUGUGAUAAAAUUUCUAAUUAUUUUUUUUGCAUUUUAUUUUGUUAAUUGAUAAAUAGUAAAAAUUAAGUUUCAAAAUUAAACCCUAUACCCUAAAUCAUAUACUCUAUACCCUAAACCUUUUAAGGUUCAAUAUUGAAACAUAUUUGACUAUUUAUCAAUUAACAAAAUAAAUCGCAAAACAAAUAAUCAAAUGUGAUAAAGUUUCUAAUAAUUUUUUUGCAUUUUAUUUUGUUAAUUGAUAAAUAGUAAAAAUAUGUUUCAAAAAAUUAAACCCUAAAUCUCAUACCCUAAAUCCUUUACCCUAAACCCUAAACCCUUAGUGCUCAGUAUUGAAACAUAUUUUAGUAUUUAUCAUAAACAAAAUGAAAUGCAAAAAUAUAUGAUGUAAUACUAAGUACAUAAUAUAGCAAAAUUGAAAACAUAUUACAAUAUACAAAUUAACAAAUAAGAAUCGGUUUAAAUUAACAAAUAGCUUUCAUCUAUAUAUAUUUAUUAUACUACUAUUUGUGUUUAAUAGUUUUAUUUUUAAAACUCUUUUUAACUCUAACUAAGUUUAAAUCUUAGUUAAAAAUGUAUUCUCAUAACUAUAAAAUAUUUUCCAUUUAAACAUAGUAUUUAGUUAUAUUUAAUCUGUUUAAAAUGGUAUAAGAAAAUAAACAAGAGCAGAGCCAAUAGAAAGAGAUUACUCGGAUAGCUGACGUGGCGUAUUAUCACAUUGUUUCUAAUAUGAACCGUUGAUUAAAAUGAAUCUAACGGACACAAAUUUAACCCUUUUUUAAUCCACUCUUUUAACUUCUUCUUCUCCUCCUCAUUAUCCUCUAAGUCGUCUCUUUCAUCUUCUUCUUCUUCAAUAGAAGCCCUACCUAGAACCAAAAGGCAACAAAAAUCUUCUACCAACACGAGCCACUUCCUUCGCGAGAAACCCUUGCCGCAGAAGUCACCGGUAAAGUCUCAUAUCUCGAUGGGAUUCGACCAACCCACACCGCAGCCACCUUCUUGAACGAAACACAAGCGACGAAUCCCCCGUGACCACCGUUGACCGGAGCAAACCUAGAUUUUAUUAUCUCUCUUGAAGUGAGGAAUGAAACUACAGAUUGUUUUCACCAUUUGCUGCUUCUAGAUCUGGUAAAGAAAGAUUUGUCUUCUCUUCAUUUUAGUUUAACCACACAAAAUUCAAUUUUGUAUUCAGGAUUUUUCGAAAUAAUCAUUGACCAAUAAACAGAUGGAAGCUGCGUGGGGAAGAAAUACGUUGCGUUUGUUGCAGAUCCUCUAAAACCAUUUGCAGAAGAUUCGAUUCGUGUUAUUUCGGUAGAUAGCUGAUCGAGUAAGAUUCAAUCGUUUGUCUAAUCUUCUUUUCUAAGCAGAUUGUGUGAAUCAAUUUUUGUAUAUGAUUGGGACUGUUAUUUUCUGUGGUUCAAUGUGUUUGAUUUGUAUUUGGCUAAGAAUCUAAUUACUUUUGGUGGUUGAUUAUGUAGCAAAAACUAGUUUUAUCUUGAGACAUCUUACUAGGUAGAUGGUAAGAUUGAGAAGAAGCGUGAACAUCAAAGAGUGCAAAGCCUCGAGAAGUUUAAAUAUAAGAGUUUUAUUAGUUUAUCUUUACGAUGUACAUUUACUUUUUAAUUAAUUUUGUAAUUUACUUUGUAAUCUAAUUUUUCUGUAUUAUAAUUCCAUAUAUUAUAAUAAAAUAUGUAUUUUAAUAUGUUAAUCUAUCCAAAAACCUAAUCAAUUAUAAAUUAUAUAUAAUUAAAAUUCAUUAAACCAAAAUAAUGUAUAUAACAUGUACAAAUACUGUAUAAAUACAUCUGACCAAAAAAAAAUAUACUGUAUAAAUACACAAAAGUAUUACGAAGUGCUAUAAUAAACCAUGCUAUAAAUAAACUAUUCAGUAACAAAACUAAACUGCUAUUGAAUACUAUACAAUUGCAUAUAAAGAAACGCUAUUAUUAAAUUAGUAAUAAUAGCAAUCCGAAAAAACGCUAUCGAAAAGGGCAGACCUAUUAUCGCGGGCGAUGACAUAGCGUUUUCUAUAACGCUGUCGUUUUUUACAAUAGCGUUUUUCUGAUGUUAUUAAUACCCGAUUUUCUUGUAGUGACUGUGUACUAUUUUGUAGCAGGCUAGCAGAGUAAUUAUUAUGUGGAAUCAAAAUAACUUUGAAUGAUUGAGCUUUGAAUGAGAGAGUGAAUAUUUGACGGUUCAUGGUGCGUGACCGAUGAAAUGCUUUUCACUUCCCAUUCACAAAAAUAAUUAACAAUCCCUUGUAAAUGUCAGAUUUUUUUUUCCUUCACUUGUUCUUUUAAAAAAAAACAUAGCAGAUCAAACACUCCUAGUGUUUCAACUAAGAUCCGUCAGCAUAUUUUGAAAAAAUAUAUUGAUAACUAACUUUAACAUGCAACUGCUAUAGCCGUUACUUAGAUUUUAUAUAUAAUAGUAUAAAUUACAUAAUUAAUGGUUUAUAAAACAUAAAAUGAUGUAAUAAUAAAAUUGAGCAUGAAACAUUUAAUAUAUGUUUCGUUAUAGUAUUUUACGUUAUUGUUUUCUACACGAAAUUCUAAAUAAUUUGUUACUUAUAAUAAUAAUAAAACAAUUAAAUAGUACAAAUGGGUUGCAAAUUUGAGAAUUUUAAGCUGUACAGAUGAGUUGCAAAUUUGGGUAAUACACUCUAUCUGAAUUUGUAUUACGUAUAUAAUAAUAAUUAAAAACAUUUUACGUGUUGUUUAAUUUUACUAUAAAAAUAAUUGUGAAUGAUGAUACUAUUAUAUUGUAAUAUUCGGCCGUUUUGGUGAAGCAACGGUCCAACAAUACUUGCAUCUUUAAAAUCAAAUUAGUUGUGACAAAAUUUUUUUAAAAAAAACUAAUUAAUUAAUAAUGAGAAAAAGACUAAAAUCAAACCCAUUUUGUGAGAGUACUUGACUAGGUAAUUGAUGAGACAUCCAAAAAAAUCCGUUUGAAUAAAACAUCUCAAGUCCACCAAUUAUACUCAUUUUGUAACUGACUAGUACUUACUAAGACUAGUACUAAUAUUGAUGAGGGACAUCAGAUUUUUUUUAUUAAAUGAGAUUUAAUAAAAUAUUUGGGAUCCGUUUCAUUCAAGUCCACCAAUUAUACUCAUUUUCCCAUCAUUGUGACUGCAGGGAAAUGUAGAGAGAGAAAGAAAACUCAUUUGAUCAUGGCUUUUCCCAUCAUUGUGACCGCAGGGAAAUAGUAGAUCUUUUUUAUUUUGGGUUUGUUUUGUUAUUUGUAAUUAAUGAAUCAUCUUAUACGAUGAUGAUGAUGCAGCAAAUAUAUAUAUAGAUAAUGAAAAGGUUAAUAUUAUUCAAUCCUUCAUUUUGAAGAUGAAAAUGAAAAACCAUUGGAGAAGAUUUCUUCAUUUUCAAAAUGAAGGAAAAAGUAAAAUUUGAAUCACCAUUAGAGAUGUUAUGCAUAAGGUUAAAAAAAAAAGCAAACAUAUCUCAAUAUUCCAACAAUUCAAAUAUAACUUCAUCUAGUUAGACAAUUUUUAAGAAAAACAUAACACUAUAUGAAUUUAAUCGAUAAAUAUAGCUCUUACGGUUUCUUAUCGUAUAUUUUUAUAUUAUAUUUAUGCAAUAUUACUAAUCGUCAUGACCGAUGUAUGAAUAUACCAUAUACUCUUUUUUUAUAGGUUCAAUAAUUUAUAUGUGUUUUUAAAAUUAGAAUCCUAAUAUAUACGGUAAAAUAUAUCUUUAUUUUAUUUUAUAGAUGAUUCAAUUAUUUACAAAAAUAUAAUAAAAACAAGGGAAGAUAUACGAUAAUUACAAAUGAGUAAUAGGAAAUAGUUGGAAAGGAAAAUAGGAAGAGAGAAAUAAAGUGAAAAUGGAAGAGAUAGAGAAAAAAAAAUAUUGGUUAGAUUUUUAUGAAAUAUUUCUAACUAUCCAAAAAAUACUCCCUCUGUAUUUGAAAAAAUGUCGUUUCAACUGUUUUUGGGUGAAUUAAGAAAGGGCACAGAAUUACAAAACUAACCUUAUGAGAAACGAUUAUUUACAAUUAUAUUUUAUAUUUUUGAAAUCAAUUAAGAAAGGGCACAGAAUUUUAUGAAAAUCGAUUCGUAUCUGUAGUUUUGGUAAUUUAGACUGAUUAAUUAUGAUCAAUUAAUUGGGGGUAAUUUAGGAAAUUUUAUGCAAAAGUUGUUAAAAUGACAACUAAUUAAAAACACAGAAAAAAGGCUAGAACGACAUUUAUUCAAAUACGGAGGGAGUAGUUAUUAAAUGAUAUACACCAUAAUUAUUCUAUGAAAUAAUUAGAAGAGAAAGAGAGUACAAAUGGAAGAGAAAGAGAAAAAAUGAAAUUUACGGCUAGUUUUUUUAUGGAAUGUUUCUAACUAUCUAAAACAAUAGUUAUUAAAUGAUAUACAUCAUAAUUACUCUAAUAAGUGGGUGUUAUUAGAUAAUGGAUUUUAAUAGAGUAUAACUCUAACCCAACUCUAUUGUUAUUCAAUCACUAAUUUUAAAUAUUUUACUCAAAUCAAGUGUUAUUAGUUUUUAGAAUUGUAAUAUCCUCAUUAAAAGAUUUUAAAAUCAAGUGUUAUUGUUCUUACAUUUAUAAUGUUUAUUAUAAAAGAGUUCUAAAUCAAGUGUUAUUGGUUCUCAUAUUUACAAUGAUCAAUUAAAGUUCUCUGUUAUUCAUGUUUGGUAGAAUUUCACAGAUGAUUUUAUUUGAAAAGAUUUGAAUGAAUCUGAAACUGAUUUCAUGUAUAAAUUAUGGCAAUCAAAAUUCAACAUUCUACCCUAAGAUUUCAAAAUCCUAUUUAUGAUUAUAAACAAAAAUUCUAUUUUUUCCUUUCAAAUAAAAUAUGUAGGUCUUUAUUUUCUUCUCUAGAUCUCUCUCUCCAUCCUUUUCACUUUCACGGUAAUCAUUGUAUUCUCUCUAUCUCCAUAUUUUAUUUUUCAAUUUUUUAUAUUAAGAUAUUUGAUUAUAACCUAGUAAGACGUUAUAGUACGUUAUAGUCAUAACUAAUUAGUCAUAUCUCCCUCUUUUUUGGUUUAAUUAGAUCCCACGACUAUUCUAACAUAGUAACAUGAUAUAUAUACAUUACACAUCCGUAAUAUUUUUUAUACUGAAUUGAAGCAAUCAUUUGUUAUAUAAUUCAAUUAUAUUGUUCAAAACUAAAUGAUAUCAUGUGUCAUUGUAAAUACACUGCCACGAAUAUGUCAAAUGAAUAAUGACUCAGUCACAAUGAAUCCAGUUUUUAAAAUUCUGAUGACCUUUUAAAUCUAAUGGAGUUGAUUUCAACUUAUACAAUCAAUAACACCUCCGGUUUUUAAAAUUCUCAUGUGUCGUGAUGAAAGUCCAACAAUAUCCAACGCCUAAUUUGUUCCAAAAAAAUAUAUUAAGAAAUUACGCAUUAUAAGUUUAACUUAUAUUUUCUCGAUCUCGUUAAUUUUAAGUUUCACAUGUGUGAAUUGCUUUUGAGAAGGUAUUAUUAUAUUAUAUUUUCAGUAACACUUCAACGAUUAAUAUCAUACUAAUUUUAUGUUCGUUUUUAUUUUUAGUUUAGAAAACGUUUAUAAAGUUCUAAACAUAUACAUGCAAACUCGUAUAUGCUAUUUUUUUUCUCUUUUCCUUUCUAAAUUAAUUGGAAAUAAAAUGAGUCGUAGUUUUUGAAUAAGGAUUUUUAUUCAAAUUUAGAAAAUAAGUCAAUUUUUUAAAUUCACUUAUACCUUCAUUUCUUUGUUAACUCAUGGGUUCGUUCAAAACUAUGUUGUAUAUGUUAUUAAUGAUAUUUUCAGCAUUCAUAACUAUUUUUUUGGAUAUAUUUCUACUUUUCUUUUAGGUUUUGUAUUUUAUAUUGAAGAAUAUUAUUCAUGUUAUAUAGGCAAAAAAAAAAUCAAUUCUUUUAACGAAUAUAACAAACCAUUUUCCAAAAUGAUUAUUUUUGUAUGAGUCAUUACACUUCAUUGAUGACUCAUGUGUUCGUUCAAAAUCAUGUUGUACAUGUUAUUGAUGAUCUUUUCAGCAUUAAAAACUACUAGAUUUACUCGCCCGCGCGUUGCGCGGGAUAUCAAAUUUCAACUGGGUAUAAUACAAAAUGUUAAGAAUAAUCAUAAUCAUUUGAAUUUUAAAAACUAUAUAUAUUCAUACUUGUUUUACAAAACAAUAUACAACAUAGAAAUUAUAAAAUAUAUUUGGUAGGUAUCGCGUAAUAACAAAAGUUAUAUAAGAUGAAUCGGUCUCGGUAGUCAUCAAUAAAUUUUUUUUUAUCAAAAAAGAGAGUUAAUUCCAUAAACAAAUCUUGUAAGUAUAACUGUCUUGAUGUUUUGACCUAUUCGUACCUCAUACUAAAAGUAAAUGUGCUGAGUUUGAACAUCAAUUUAUAAAAAUAUAUAAACGUAAUAUUCAUGUCGAUUCAAUAGGUUUGGAGAGCAUAAUUUACCUAUUGAAGCAAGGCCAUCAUACCUGAAAGUUUUGACCAAAUCAUGAAUGUCUUAAUCUUAUCUAUCCUACUACGCUUACAUGGCUCGACGAUUUAACCCGAUGUUGAAUAUGAUAGUCUAGUUUACUAAACCAAACUAUCCGAUAAUGCAUACAUAUAUCUGAUGAAUAUCGUUAGUCAUGUGCAUACAUAUAUCCGAUGCUUCAAGCAUUACUCAAUUUCUCUUCAAAUAUUUUUCGUCAUCUUCUAUAAUGCAUUUGUUCGCUUCCCAACAUCUACUAUUUUUUAUCUUCUAUGCUCACUUUAAUAAAACUUUAAAUUGAUUCUUAACUGAAAACUAUUUCCUCAUUUUCAUCUUUUUAGUUUAUUUGCUUUUCUUAAUUAUAUGGUUUUCAUACUUCAACGUAAUAUAAUUUUACGAAAGAUAUAUAUUUGUUUAAAUUUUCUCAACAGAACUUAUUUAGAGUUUUACCUAUAUUUAAACAUAUUCACAAAAAAAAAAAAAAAAAAAAAAAAACAUAUUCACCUUUUUAUUUAGAAAGCAAACAAUAAUAUAGAUAUAAAUGUAUUAGUUUCAUUGUUAUAUUUUACUAUAAUUUAAUAUUAAGAUACAAUUAAUCUUUAUAUUUUUUCGUCAAUGUGAAUUUAUACUAUUACUCUCUUGAAAUAUAAUUUUCAAUUUUAAAUAUGAAUUAUUUCUUAUAUCUUAAAAAACUUUUACAAUCAUACAUUUACUAUAACAUUUAACCAUUUAUUUUUUAAUCUAAAAAUAAUAUUAUUUUAAAUAAAUUUCUUCCACUUCAUUAUUAUCUCUUUAAUUUAAUGUUUCCAUGAAAUAUGAAUAUCUUCUUAUUAUUAAAAAAAAAAAAAACUCUUAUAGCCUUCCAUUUAAAUUCAAUUCUUUUUUCAUCCUAAAUUAUAUUUGAGGUUUCCUUAUUAAAAGUUUUUUAUUUUUAAUAAGUUAUUAUUAGUUUGUAAUUGUAUAAUAAAUUUCAUUAAGAAGCCUUUUGUCCAUCUUAAAUAACAUUGGUAUUUCUAUGAAAUUUUCAUAAUUAUUUUUUUAUUUCUUAAUUAAAUAUUUAGGGAUUAUGUUCAUUUUAAGUUAUAUAUUAACAAAAAAUUAAUUUAAUUGUUUUAUAUGUAAAUAUGUUACACUUGUGCUAUUAUUAUUCAAUUAACCUUUAUUUAAAACUGUGCAUUAAUUGAUGAUUACUUCUUUGAUAAUGAGAUGUAAUUAACCAUGAAAUUAAAUUUUGAAAUAACUAUUAGUAGGAUCCAUAAUAUUAAUUUAAUUUAGUGAUGAUGUGGACACCCUAAGAGGAGAGAAAACUCUCCAAUUAUAUAUAUAUAUAUAUUUGUUUGGAUAUCUUUCUACUUUUAUUUUAUGUUUUGUGUUUUGUAUUGAAGAACAUCAUUCAUGUUAUAUAGGCAAAAAAGAAUCAAUUCUUUUAACGAAUAGGACAAACCAUUUUUCCAAAUAGAUAUUUUGGUAUGAGUCGUUACACUUCAUUGCAUGUAUUUUUUUAGUAAGAUAUUAGCUUAUCACGUGUUACAAACAUAUUAUGUUAUUACAAUUAUGAAGUUGAUUGUUCAUUAUUUUAUUUUUCUAAAUCAUCAUCAUCAUCAUCAUCAUCAUCACUAAUGCUCUUAGUUAGCAAAUUAGCUAUUAUUUUUGCACUUAACAUGCUUAGUUUAUGACUUUUUACAAUGUUGAUGAGAUAUGAGCACCAUGAUUCUUAUUAGGAUGUAAGAAAAAAAAUUAUUGAUGAUAUUUGAAUUCUAAAUAAUAUCCAUACUCUUUUUAAUAUUUACUAUAGUAAUUUUGUUUAAAACUAAAUUUCAAUCUUACUCAUUCUAUUUUGCUAAACACUUUAUCUAUCUCUUUCAUCAUAAUAAGCAGAAUUUUAAUUCUACAUACUUCAUCUUAUUGAUGAUAACCAAAUUUCAGUCUCAUACAAUUUUUUUGUAUUACAAAUUUAACUAUCUAUUUUAUCAUAAUAAACUAGAUUUUGAUUCUACUCAUCUUAAUGGAUGCGUGCUAAAUUUUUAUAUCAAAAUAAUAUGUAUAUCAUAUCAAAUCUUAAUCUUAGUUAAUAUUAAAAUAAUUAACAAAUAAGAAAACAUAAUUACCAAAUAAAUUAAAAUUCUACAAAAAUUUUGGAAGACAAACAUUGUAUGAAAUAUAGUUUUUCUAUAUGUCAUAAUCUCAUAAGUUAAUUUAGGCUCAUGUCCAAAUAAUUUUAAAUGACUUAAAAUGAAUAAAUAACACAUAUACUUACAUUCUCAUCAAGUAAUCAAAAAUUAAUCCUAUUAAAUCGUUAAAUGAAAUCACAAUUAUUUUUGAAAAGGUAAUGAGUUUUAAGAAGGAAUUUUUGAAUACUUGAUGAGAAUCAUAUAUAUGAAAGUUGGCCAACUCUUUCCAUAUGAGUGUCACAUCAUCACAUAAGAAAAUGACAUGUGUCAUUCAAUAUUAUUUAAAUUAAAAAAUUAGCAAAAUUAAUUGAGGUAAAAUCAAAAGUCUUCUAUUGUGUUAAAUCCUCCAUUAAUCCCAUUCUUAAAUGAUUUCUUCAAAAUAUAAAUAAAAUUAUAAAAUUAUUUUAAUAAAUCAAACACUAUUUUCAUUUUACUUUUCUUACUUUUUCUAAUUUUUUAAUUUAAUGGUCAAUGGUCAUCACUCUAUAAUUACUAAAUAAUUAUUUGUAGUUUAGUUGUUUGCUACCUAAUAUCUUAUUAGCUUAGUAAUUUUACCUUGAAUAUUUUCUCAUUAUUACGUUAUGGUUCAUAUCUUAUCAUAUUACAUUCUCUCUUUUCAUUUUUGUGUCUUAUGGUAAAUUCGUAACAUUGACAUGCAAAUUUUUUCAAGUAAUGAGCUUUUGAGACGUUAGACAUACCACAAAAUUCAAGACAAAUUCAUUUCUCUUAUAUGGCUAUAUGCAAUAGCAUAAAAUCUAAAAGUGUUACUUAAAUAACUCUUUAAUUUUUGUUUUUGUUUUCUUCUUUUCAUACGAAAAUUUUUGAGAUAAAAAAAUAUCAUAUAUUCUUGUUGUGUGUAUUGAUGAUAGUGAACAAAUAUUAGAAUCUUAGAUAUAAAAAUAAUCAGAUUAUACAUGAAAAUGUAUAAAUUGAUAUUUAGAGUCAAAAACGAAUCUAAACAUAAAAAUUGUAAGUACAUAAGAUGAGUCUAAUUUUAUUAACUACAUAAUAAUAAACAGAAAAAUAAACAUAAAUUAGCGAUUAAAAAAAUUAACAUAUUUUUAUCUAAAUAAUUUUUAAAACAAACCUACGCGUAGCGUGGGAAUUCAUCUAGUACUAAGAAUAGUUAGUGAUUACAUAAAUGAGUGACUAGAUAAUUGAAAAUUACAUUUAUCAAAACAUAACAUAAAAUAAAAUAAAUUUAAAAAAAACCAGAAAAAACCGCGGCGUAGCUCGGGUGAUCACCUAAUAUAAAGUAUAAAGCUAGGCUCAUAUUCCUCACUAUAUAUCUUGGGGAGCAUGACUCAGAUCUUCUCGUCCGUUGGUCAAGCAGAACAACUCUUCCAAGCUUCUAAUCGUGCUUGUCUGCUUAUUUCAAUUUGCCCUGCUAUGUCUUUGUUUUUUUUUUCACUGAAAGGAUUGAUUAUAUUGAUAGGAUAUACAAACUGUCAUCACACAACCUUUGUACAAACAUAACAGGUUAGUGGAAGAGAAUGGUAAGAAGGAGAUAUAUCAUUCACCAAAAAAAACACACACGCCAAAGACCAUAAACCAGAGAGAAAUAGAGACUAAGCCAACAACUAAGAUGAAAUUCUCUCCUCCUUAAAAACGUGUUGUAGCCAACGAGGGUGACCACCUGCCACAUAAGAUUGCAAUCUAUCCUCACGAACAAUACUCUGAGCGAUGAGAGAAGCUUCUCUAUUGGCUGAAGCUUUUUCCUCCACCAAUCUCCACUCCAAAAUCAGAAAAUCUUCUCCAAAAAAUAACGAAUUUCCGAUAUUUGAUAACUGAAGGAAGGCCAAGCACUUGGUCUUUGACAAGCAUUAACCAAAUCACCCGCUUCAGUAGCAAAUAUGACUAUGCAUACAAUCCAUUAGCUCAUACCAUACUUUGAAACAGAACCUCUCUUCUGUUAUGCAACCUGCCAAAAGCUCUCCUGCUAUGUAACAGCACCUGCCCUGUUGCAUCUCUAACAAUCCAGGAACAGCCAGCAGUCCUCUUCUUAUUUGACCACGCAGCUCCAAUGUUACACUUCAACCAGUCAACAGGCGGUGGUUCCCAUUUCUGAAGGUUCCUUGCCAAAACAUUGCAAACCGCAGGACCUUCAUCAACAGACUGCAUUUUUGUAUCAAACCAUUCAUCACAGUCCUCUCUUAUCUUCCCCAUCGAGUCCAAGGGACAUAAACUUGAACCUUCAAAACAUAAUUUAUUUAUGUUUUUCCACAAUCUCCACAGGAUCCAAGGACACAAGUUACUGACCUGUCUGUUUACUCUUGACAUCUUUUUUUGUUUCCAACAGAAACUGAAAAUUAGCAAAGAGAGAUCCUUUACUAAACCCAUUCUCUGGAUUAGGAACUCCAGAGAGAGCCAAAAUCUGUCUGGCCACAGCACAAGUGAAUAACAAAUGAUUAAUAGAUUCGCCUUCCUCCCCACAAAUCUGACAUUUAGAUUCACCAUUCAUUCCCCUGUGUUUUAUCUGGUCAGCCACAGGCAAAGCUGCACUUAUAGCUCUCCACAUGAACAUUUUAAUCUUUGGAGACGUAUCAAUGGACCAAAUUCUCUCCUUCAAUAGAUUAGUCGAUGGUUGAACCUCAGCCAGUCUAAUUACAUCCGGUUUAUUAACCUGAUAAGCUAACCAAUACCCGGAUUUAACAGAGUACUCUCCAGAUUUUGAAUGGAUCCAACACCAAAAGUCCUCCUUAGUAAUCACUAGCUUGUGUCUUGUAAUAAUAUCCACAUCUAUUGGGUAAAACAGAUCAUCUAGGACUGACCUAUUCUAAUUUCUAGCUUCAACAUCAAUAAGAUUAGACACAUUAAGAUCCAAGUUAACCGUAAAAUGCUUCAUCAAAGGAAUCCUCGGGCCAUUGUCAUAUACCCAAGAAUCCAUCCAAACACUAAGGGACUUACCAUUGCCCACUUCUUUUCUCAAACCCUUUACUAGCAACUCUCUUCGAUGAAGUAUGCCCCUCAAAACAAAGGAUGGUCUAACACCAAUAUCUGCCUCCAAAAAAUCUAGCAAACAUGGAAGAAGGAUUUUGAAUUAAUCUCCAAGCCUGUUUGGCCAACAAGGCUUGGUUAAAGGUUUCAAUAUCCCUGAAACCCAAACAUCCCUGGUUUUUUGCAAGGCAUAACUUUUCCCAGUUAAUGGACUUUCCUUAUAUGUUCCACAGCACUCCACCAGAAAUCUGCCAUAGCGCUCGUGAGAUUAGUACAAGUAGUCUUUGUCAACCUGAAACAAGACAUAGCAUAUAACGGCAUGGCAAGAGCAACGGCCUUAAGCAAAAUUUCUUUCCCUCUAAAGAUAAGGUUCUAGAAAACCAACCAGACAACCUUGAUUUGAGUCUAUCCUUCAUGUAGUCCAGGAGUUGGAUUUUAGACCCGCUGAAGCAUUCAGGCAGUCCCAAAUAUGAGCCUCCACCUCCUUCAUUAAAAAUUCCAAGAUCUCUUUGAAUCCAGUCUUUACUCUGUUCAUCCACUUUAGCCCCAAAGGUGAUAGAAGACUUCUCAAAAUUGAUCCUUUGACCAGUAGCAUUCCCAUAAACUUGGAAGAUCUUCUUUAUCGUAUCCACUUCCUUUAAAUCAGCCUUACACAUAAACAAACUGUCGUCAGUAAAUAGGAGAUGGUGUAUUGCUGGCCCUUCAGGCGAGAUAUGAAUACCACUAAUGAGCCCUUGCCUCUCUGCUUUAUUCAUAAGGUGAGUCAGUCCUUCAGUACAGAGCACAAACGAAAAAGGUGACAAGGGAUCACCUUGCCUCAAACCUCUAGAAGGAGUAAUCAGACCAAAAGCCUGGUCAUUAAUUAAGAUAGAAAAGGUUACAGUCGAAACAUUUACCAUGAUCCAAUGUACCCAUUUGUGGUGAAAACCUAGAGCUUCCAGCAAAGCCUUUAGGUAACCCCAUUCUACCCUGUCAUAAGCCUUAGACAUAUCAGAUUUAAUAGCUAUGUACUCCUUAGAAAUCUGAUUAUGAGUCCUCAAACCAUGCACCACCUCAUGAGCUAUUAAGAUGUUAUCCGAAAUCAGCCUCUCAGAAACAAAGGCCGAUUGAUUAGGAGCCACUAACUCACUCAGAAACGGUUGUAGCCUCUUCACCAAGAUUUUAGAGAUAACCUUGUAAAGAACAUAACACAAGCUAAUCGGUCUCAAAUCUGACAUUUGCUCAGCUUUUCCUUUUUUUGGCAAGAGACAGAGUUGAGUGUAGUUCCACUGCUUAGGCAUAGAACCAGUCAUAAAGAAUUGCUGAACUUCUGAUGUUACCUGAUCACCUAUAAUGCUCCAGUACUUCUGAAAGAAAAAUCCAGUAAACCCAUAUGCACGUGGAGCACUAGACCCUCUGACAGAAAAAACAGCUUCUUUAAUUUCCUUUUUUUAGACAUCAGCAGUCAGCACAGUAUUCAUCCCUACAGUAACUGUCGGAGGAAAAUCACCAAAAAUAUCUUGAAAGUUGCCAUGAUCAACAGACUUAAACAAAUCUGUAAAAUAGGCUUCAUCAAUUGCUCCCUUAGAAGCUUCAGCUUUAUGAAAAUUCCCAUUGACAUCUUUCAAUUUCUCCAGAAACUGCUUCCCCUAACAGCUUUAACUGAGGCAUGAAAGAACUUAGAAUUCUUGUCCCCACCAUUCAUCCACUUUUGUCUGCUUUUUUUACUCCACAAAGUCUCCUCUUCCUUAUAUGCAAGACAAAGAUCUCUCUUAAGAGCUCUUACCAAGUUAAAACGAGGAAAGGAAGAAGAUUGUUCUUUUUCCAAACCAACUUGACACUGCUUAAUCUUCAAAAGGGAAUUGAGAUUAUUCACCUUUUUCCACCUACUCAAAGCCUUCAUGCAGUUCUUCAACUUAUCAGACACCAAAACCCUAUCAUCAGCCUGAGAAGAAUUCCAAGCACCAGAAAUAGCUUCCUUAACAUUAGGUUUGUUGAAAAGUCUUUUAUCAAACCUGAAGCAACCUCUAUACUCAUCUCUAGUAUUAGUAUAAUUAUACUUAUGUUUUAUUCUAAAAAUUUUAACGCAUGUACUCAUAAGUGAAAACAUUAUACAACAAUGAUAAAUACAACUUUUAUCCAAUUAAAUUACUUUUGAAUAACUCACAUUGUUAUUUUGAACUUCAAUAGUCAUUUUUUAUUAGUUAAUUAAUAUUCAUGCUAAAUGGUUUUUUCUUGAAACUUAAUACAUGCCAAAUUUAAUUGACGAAUAACGCAUGUCAAAAACAAAUUGUUAGUUUUCCAUUUUGGUUAAGAAAACUAAAAGUGAAAUCUUUUUAGAUAUAGACAUAUGAAUUAGUAUAUGUGUAAAUUUGUUUUUUAAGUUUUUCUUUUUUCUUAAGGAAAAAAUAAAUAAAUCUUUUCUGACACAUAUCAACAUCUAAUAGAUAGAUUUGACAUGUGUCAAGAUCAUACGAGUUACUAACUUUGAAAACCAAGCUUUAGAUAAUAAAAAAAUUAUAAGCAUCUAUACUAUUAAUUGGGAAUCAUUGGAUAAUAAUAAACUUUUUUUUUGUUAAAUAUUACGAAGAAUGCCAUUGGGGUUUUUGAUUUCCAAGACAGAAAUAAAAAAUUCGGAAAAGGGUAAAUGGAUAAUUUGAGAUGGAAAACUCGCGGAUCUUGGGCUUGUGGAGCGGAUAAACACGCGGAUCUUAGGCUUCUAAGUCGGGUGAAUACGCGUUUCUCGGACUUGAUUCGGCAUGUUGUAAUAUGGCAAUGUUGUUAUUGACACCGUGAUCCUUGGCCAAUGAGAUAUUUCCUUAAAUCUACUUAACAAACGAAUAGAGUAAAUGGGUUGAAGAGGCUAUCGAAAUUGGGUUUACAUUUUAACAUGUAUUUCGGCCCAAAUAGAAAACUGUUGGCUUGAAUUAUGGGCCACUUAAUUAAAAUUUUGUUACAUAGGUUUUCUGAACUACCAAGGUUUAAUUUAUAAACAAUAAUGUUGCAUUACACAAAUCAAUUUUACACUUUCUAAAAUGUAAUAUACUUUCAAAAUUUUACGUUAUAACUAUUACACACCUGACUUCUGACACUAUUACAAUUAUUUGUUAUGCAUCAAAACCAAACUAUUUAAAAAAUAAAUAAAACACUAAUAAAACUAAUAAAACAGAAAAUAAAUGCGUGUACCACAGUUUUUUUUUUUUAAAGAAAAAAAUUUAAAUGAAUAUGUUACUAUUGUGAUAUCUAUGCUAUUAUAUAAUUGACUAACAAAAAAAAAACCUUAAUUAAAACUUUUUCCAAACACAUUACUUUUACAUUACAUUUUGUGCGGGUCGGAACGACACUACUUUCUCUCAUUGUCUUUUCUACGUAGUUGUCUGAUAACAAAAACAAAUCUACUCAUUCAUUCUGUCUACACCGAACUCAAACCAAACAAAACACCAAGCUGAUAUAAAUCUAAAUUAUGAAUAUUAUAUCAAAUAAAUAUGAAAACAUUAUCCCAUACGUAUGUGGGGUCUAAAUCUAUAUAUAUGACAAAACAACAGAAUAAUCUAUAUUGAAUUAAACUUUAUUAAAACACACUUUAUAAAAUAUGAAAUCCCGCACAUAUGAUCUAGUAGACUCUUGUAGGGGUAGGCAUUUCGGUUUAAUUUUGGUUCGGUGCUCGGUUAAUUCGAUUUUAUUUUAACAGAUACCGACCACCGUUAUUGUUUAUAUAUUAUAUUUUUCACUAUCACAUUUCAAAACACAAUCAAGUUGUGGAAUUUUUAAUUUUUCAUAAUUAUAAUUUUGUAUACCAUUAAUUCAUCCGAAAUACCAUUCCAUUUCUAUAGACUAUAAAUGAAACAGAUCUCAGGUGUCAAAAAAAAAAGAAAAAAAGAUAAUGAAAUGAAACUACCAUAGAUUUGUUUCAGAAUUAUAAAUAUAGUCUAAAAUUGGAUAAAUUAAUAAAUCUUUAAAACGGCAAUUCUAAACUUUAAGCUUUAAAACCUAAACCCUAGUCUCUAAAAAGUAGAAACCAAGCCCUAAGCCUUAAAAUCUAAAGCCUAACCCAUAAAAUUUAUUCAAAACUUAAACAAAAUGGCCUAAAUCAAAGACCCACCAAGAAGUCACUGUUGAUGUCCCUAAGCCUAACGUAUCAUUUCGGCAAUAUCAGCACCUAGAUUUUUAAGCCUCUCACGGACUGAGCUGACCUGCACAAGGAAAAUUCUUAGGUUAAUAUUAGCCAAGAUUAGGAAACUAUCUAAUCGCAACAAAGACGAGACACGAAAUUACUUACGGCUUCGGGUAAUUGUUGGCACUGGGAAGCAAUUUUAAGUAUGAAAUGAAUGGUCGCAACAAGAGAUUCCUCAUUUGAAUCACUUAGAAACUCAUAUGACUGAAGUAGAAUGUGCUCCCACACUUCACUAUCACAUUCUAACUGGCUAAGAGCAUUGUAUACCUGUGCAACGUAAUAAAAGUCAGAUGGAGGAGAUGUUGAAGUUUGAUCUGGUUCAUGAAAUGAACUUGCACUUACUGGUUCACGUAAAGAUAUUUCAGCUUCGGGCUUUUGAAGCUGUUGAAUAAGUGCAUAAGCAGCCAGUGAAUGCUCUGAAUGCUCAACCAAUUUAGGAACCAGACUAACUAAAUCUUGUAGCAAAUGUUUGGGUGCUCUGUCUAAAACAAGACCAAUCUUUUGAGCAGAGUGUGGUCGUCGUCUAAACUCAGAACAACCUUGUGGAACAACCGCAUCGAUUGUUUUUAGUGAGUUAACAAUCAGUCCCAAUACCUCCUCAGACUGUUCUGGCCACUUUUUCUGAAGAACAAUUUUUUUUUCAUGUUGUUAGAAAAACAAUCGAGCAAAAAAGAAAAGCUGCUAGAUAGCUUUCAGUAGUAUGAGAGACCAACCUUUGACACCGAUGAAGUUGCAGCCACGCAGCCGUCGGAAUGAGAGCCUUCCUUCGGAGGUUGGCAACACUUAACCAUUAUAUCUAGAAGUAAAUCAAUAAUUGCUUGCUGUAGAACUUUAACACCCAUCAGCAAAUUCAGCAGGCUUGCUGAAGAUUCAUCACUCUUUGUUAACUUGCUUGAUAUUUUAGUCGGGAGAAGUAAACGCUUUGCUUUAGUAGGAUCAUCAAGAUAAACACGCAAGUCAGUAAGAAAACCAGAAAUUGCACCCGCAUCCAUUAGAAACUUCUCUUGGAGAGUAACUUGUAGUUGUGACGGAUUCUCUCCAAGCGGGAGAGUGAUUCCAGCUCGCGCAAGAAAAUCUUGGAAUGUGUCUUCCUCCCUUUCCUCAGAAUCCAUAAUUUCAUCAGGAUUGGUGGCUGAGGCAUCAGCUUGGUCAUCAUCUGAAGCCAAUACCUAAAUAAAAGUAAGGUUAAAUUAAUAACACAAUUAUACUGUUUAAGAAAUAAAAUGGAGCAGAAUAAACUAACCAUUAUUAGGUCUGAAAACUCAAACCAAGGACAACAAUCCAAUAUUUCACACACAAAAACAACAGUGUCACGCACAAGAAACCCAGCAUCAGCCUCCAACAUGUCAGACACCUUCAUAAACUGUAGAACAGAAUUAUUCCAUGUCUUGGUACAUAUAGAUGACUCCUUCCACACAAUUUUGGCCGGAUUCUUUUGGUUGAGAAUACCCAUCUUGUACUUAACCCAGAAAUUAUUGUCCACAUCGGUACCCGCAGAUUGAUCACUCUCUAAAUAUAUGCAUAUAGUGUCAAAGGACUCAUAUACACCGAUCCGAAGUUCACAUCCACCAGCUUGAAAGAAUUUGCUAAAAAUCUUUCGUGUUUCCAUGAUUUCCUUGAAGGCCAAGAAAUUCUCCACUUUCCAAGUAAAUGAACUUUUCACGGUGUUAUCAAUUUGUGAAACUGAAUUAGCUGAUUCUGCCUCCCUGUAGUCUUUUGUUAGAGAUGUUUCUUUCAAAAUAAGAACCUCCGCGGAGAAAACAACAGAGUCUUGAACAAGAAAUCCAGAGUCUUGAUCAAACAAACUAGUAAGUGUUACGAAUUCACGCCAACCCCAAUCCUUUGCGGCUUUCGAGUAUCGGUUCUGAGAUUCCUUUGUCACUGACAUCUCCUCUGAUCUUUGGUUAACAACUGAUAGUUGGUGGCUAACAAAACAACUCCAAUCACUACUAGAGCUUCGUGAAUCUGUCACUUCAAGAAAUACUGAAAGAUGAAGGCAUGGUGCCUUGGACUGCCCUGAAACCAUUUUAGAGUAAGACCAUCUGUUCAGACAUUGAGCACUACAAAUGCAGCAAUAAGAAAAUUUAGUGAACUUACAUACCUCGGGGGUAAACAAUAAGUCGACAAUCCCGGUUACCAAUUUGAAACCUCUUACUUUUGAUGUAAAGAUCGGUUAUCUUCCUUUUCUCCAGAAGAUUCACUAACCUUGUGAAAUUUUCAAUUCUCCAAGUGAAUUUUCCCAUUUGUCCAUUUCUAGUCCCAUUCCUUCCCUCAAUUAACCCACCAGUCCUAGUAAAGCUACUGAACUCUUUAAUAACAUGAAAUGAGGUGCUAAAGACAGCCGUGUCAUCGACAAAAAACCCGGCUUCCGGGUUCACAAAGUCAGACAUCUUCAUGUAAUCGUUCCAGCCCACGCUUGUAUUGUCCCCGCUCUUAUUAUCAGAAGCAAACCUCCCAUAAGACUCUCUAUUCAUGUGAGUGCACCCAGGCUUCUGAUUCAAAGCUGACAUGCUAAACAAACACCAACUGCUCUUGUCCGAUAAAACAGUCUUUUCGGUAUCACUACUGUCCAAACACAUGGAUAGGUACUCUUGCUCAUUAACCACACUCUGGUAAGCACAGAUCCUCAAAUAACUCUCCCCAGCUGGAAAAACAGGGCUUGUUAUCUUCUGUGACUUCAUCAUUUCCUUAAACAAGCUAAAAUUAUUUACCCUCCAAGUGAAAUUCCCACUCAACACAUCAGGCAUUGGUCCAGCUAUGGAAUUUAACUCAUUGUUAUUACCAAUACUAAAGCUCACGGACUCAUUAAGAAUCAAGAUAUCAGCCGUGAUAAGCAAGAAAUCAUUGUUAAACAAAAAACCAAUCUUAGGAUCCAAAAUACUAGAGUUUAAAGUGAAAUCACACCAUCCAUGAGAUCUCUUCUUACUAGAGAAUCUAUGCCAAGACUCCUUAUGGAUUGUGAAUGAAUCAUCGACAUGGUUGACGAUAGAGAGUCGGUAGCUAGAGAAACAGUCCCAUAGAGAUGAAGUGGUUCCUCGAGGGUCAAUGAUCUGAAGGUAGAUGCUGAUGUAGCCACGAAGGGCUUGUGAGUCACCUCUAGGGUAAACCAAGAUACGACAAUCAUAGCCUCCUACAUCGAAGUACUUGCUCCACAGUGCCUUAGAUUUGAGACGACAUGGGAAGCUCUCGACCGUCCAUCGACAUUUGGCUGUGUACUCUCCUGGCCGAUCCACGGCCAUGAUCUCUUGGGCUCUUCCACUUCUAUCUCUAGAUGAGGAGAGAGGCUUCUCCGAUGAAAUGGAGGAAUGAGAUUUGUCCACGGCUGAUGAAGACAACAUUGCCUCCGACGAGUUCUGCUUCAUCAUUUCUGUGGCGGUUUUUGUUAUUACAUCCGAAAGAACUGCUAUUUUAUCUAGGGUUUAGGGCCGGGUUAAGUUUUUUAAGGGUUUUGAACAUUAAUAUAAAUGAUUUAAAUUUAAAAUACAUUUUUUCAUUUUUAACUCACAAAUGUGUCGUACUCACCAAAAAAAAAAACUCACAAAUGUUUUAUAAGGGUUAAAUGAGAUUUUAUCUUCGGGAAAAGAUAUAAACUAAAAUAAAUAGGCUAAUCAUGAUUACUAGCUUAAAUACAUCAUUUUAAAAUUUAAAUUUUACUAUUUUGGGUUAAGGGAUAAAGAUAUCUUUGGAGUUUAGAUUAUAUUGUUUGUGCAAAAUUUUGCUGUUUUGACGGGUGGAGAUGGCUAGAAUUCUAGAAAGCAGAUGGACGGACGUUGUGAGUAUGUUUUAAAACCAAAAAAAAAAAAAUUUGCUUAAUUUUUUAUUGGUAUCAAUCUUUUAGAAUAAUUGAUCGAGUGUGAGAUGGAAACAAUAUUAUUGGGAACGUUCAAAUAUACAUGCGAACGUUCAAUGUCAAACAUACGUGCUCAUAACAAGACUUCAAAGAAUUGUGAAAGCAGUGAAUUGUCACUUCCAUGUAUGCAUUAUAUAAAUAAAAAUUAGCCCAGUCAUAUUCAUACAGCAAACAGAAACAAAAGAUCUCUUAGUUGCACGAAUACAUAUAAAGAAUCCCGGCAAAGAAGCGAAAUUGCAUAUGACAGAUUCACUCACAUAGACGCAGGACAGUAGAGUUGGUCCAUGGCAAACAAGGUCAAAACAAUGUAUAUGAUCACCAACAAUAUUAGUUGGUCCAUGGUAGAAUUGUUCAUAUUUUGGCUUUCCACUCGGAUUUAAUCUAUAGAUUGUAAUACUUUCAAAGUUUCAAUAUCGACACACCCAAAUUACGUUCGCCUCUAUCAAGAACUUUGUCAAUGUUCUAUAUCAUAACAUCCCUCACCUGUUCAUAACCAUACAAAACAGAUAAUCCGUUGAAGCCCGCAAAACAUAACCAUUGCAUUGCGUUUCAAAUUACAUAGAAACACAAAACCUGAUUCAUUUCACCCUUAGUUCGAUUUAUCCUAUCAUCAUUAGGAUCGCUAGGUUUAAUCCGGUUAUUUCAACCAAAUUUAGACCACCCGGUUCUAAUCAGGUACGGUUUAAUAGUGGUUUGUAUUGGCUAAACCGGUUUUAGUCUCAUUCACUGCGAGUCUACAAGACCCAAAUUGGAUUUUGUUUGAAAUCUUCGAAAUCUUUUAUUAUAGCCUUUUAUAGGAUUUCGAAAUAGACUGAAACAACAACAUCAUGUCUCACUCUUACUCAAUGGUAAUGUUAAAAAGCUCACUUCCUAGAGCAACCCCACGGUCUUCACUGAAGACUUCAUUCUGGUAAAUCGUCUCAAGCUCGGUCACAACCACAUCCAUCUUUGGGCGAUCUAUUGCGGGAUAAUUCAAGCAUUCCAACGUAAUCUUCAUAUAAGGCUUGAACGAUGAUCUAGUGAACAUUCUCGGAAGUAUCUACAAAUCACAAAUACAUUUCCAAAAAAUAUUUUUUGAAGUACACAAAAAAAAAGUGUUGCAAGCUUUCUAUGGAGAUAGAGAGGGUUUUUUCUAUUACCCAUUGAACAAUUUCUUCGUUUGAUUCAAACACAUCAGGUUUUUCACCGGUGAUAAGCUCUAGAAGGAACAACCCGAAGCUAAAAACAUCAAUGGUCUCCGCUAAACCACCUCUAUAAAAAAGAUAAAAAAAUCAAAUAUUCAUAAGAACAUAUUUGUUAGGACUUAGAAGGAAUGAUGUAACUUAUCAUAAGUGAUUUAAUACCUUGGAUUAACUAGACGAAGAUCACGUGCUUCAAGCAGUCCCAACAUUCCUGGAUCUGAUACCUUGGCAUUGAGGUCGGCAUCAAGCAAAACUUUAGACGUCGUAAAUCUCUUGUGUUGUACCGGAGGAUCUAAGUUGUGCAAGUGUAGCAACCCUGAAUUGAAAAACAGAGAAACAUUAAUAUUAUUUCUUAGAAAGACCCUAAAAACAAUUAAUGUGAGUUUUGGAUCAUCCAUUUUGAUUUACCUUUGGCUGCAUCAAGAGCUAUGGAAAUCCUUUUCUUGAAUGUUAAGUCCCUAGAGGCUACUCAAUGAACAAGAGAGAUGAUCUCAAAAAAUGAUCUAUGCACCAAACUUCAGAAGUUCACUAUAUAGUGCAUGCAUUACUUACCAUCUAGAUAAUCUCGCACGCUACCGUUGACCAUAUACUCAAAGACGAGCAAUUGGUUCUCGUCGUCGCAACAAUAACCGAGCAGAUUAACCAAAUUUCUAUGUUGGAUUUUAGACAUGUAAGAAACCUGAGACACAUACCACAAUAUGUCACAAAUACAUAAAUUAUUUCCAAUGAAAUCAACAAAAUUUUCUGUGUAUACCUCAGCCAAGAAUCUAGGUUGGAGACCACACCACUCCCUUUUGAUCACAACGAUCUUGUCUCCGAUCAGCCCAGUAUAAACUACUCCGUAACUUCCAAGCCCAAUAGUAUUAGCCAUGUCAAAAUUGUUCGUUGCUUGCCUUAAUUCCUCCAUCGAGAACUCAAUCAGGCGAGGUGGCGUCCCUUGUAGACGUGAAUUACAGGAGCAUCAAAAGAUGUAUUACUUACACGAUCAGCAUCAAAAGGUGUAGUUACUUCUAUAUGUAACACUUGCACAUUAACUAAUAUGUUACAUUAAAGAACAAACCCAAUAAAACUUAAUUACAUAAUCUUUCUUUGUAUUUUUUUCUGGAUAUAUUGAAAAGGACACAUUUAAAAGACUUAAAAAAUAGAAUUUUUGUCUUUUUUUAUUACAUCAAAUGUAAACACUAAAGUGUGGUUAUAAUUUCAAGAUUAGACUUACCGGUUGAACUGGGGUUGGAGUUUUUGCCACACAGUAUUCUGGAAAUCCAGAAAAGAGCAAUUAGAAUCGCUAUGGUCGCAAUUGGAGUCCCAAUGUAAAUAGCCAUCAUUGUGUUGUGCGUCAACAUCGAGGAGAAUCUGUUGGUGUUUGUUUCCGGAACAGAACCAAGAAAAAAAAAAAGAAAAGAAGAC
rnacentral:lncRNA from 1 species